GCCUGGGUACCGGAGGGAGGGAGGCGGGCAGAGGAGGGGAGAUGGGCACCCCCAGUCUUUCCAUCCUCCUCAUUCGUCUAGGGGCACCCGAAUCCCCUAUUCCUUAUUUCCCCUAUCACUCAGGCACUGGCAGGGUCCUUUGCCCACUCCUGUUGGCCGCUGCGGCUCCAAAGCGAGCUGGGCAGAUGUGCCUGAGACAGGUUUGACCAGGCAACUGAAAAGACAUCCCUAAGAGAAGACAAAGCAAAGGUAUGAAAGGAACACACGUCCCUGACUGACUAGGAGGAACAGAGCUGCCUGCUAUCUGGAACAACUUCCUCCCAGACUAAGUGAGGCCCGGAGAGAAGAUAUGACUUGCUUAAGGUCACACACUUAGUUUCUCUGUCAAUCUUUCUAAAUCUAGGACGAGUUCUCUUCCCACUGUAUCAGGCUGCCUCAACAAACAGGGAAGUACAAAAAUAGCCAAAUCCAGGAAGGAGGGCAAGUGGUCUGUGUCUCCUCCAAUUAUUUCAUGGGACAGCCAAGCCUAUUUUCUUGAUUUCCCUUGUGCCCCUCCUGUCGGAUAUCUGCUUUGGGACCCAUCUCUUUUGGGCUUGCAGAGAGAACGGGCUGCACCAGCUCUCUACCCUCUGCAUCACCCAGAUGGUCAAACAUGCAAAGGGAAAGGAGAGCUGGGGCCAGAGUCAAGGCAGGCAAAGAG
rnacentral:lncRNA from 1 species